rnacentral:tRNA from 1 species
GGCCUUGUGGCUCAGUCGGUGGAGCAACGGUGAUCAAAUCCGGAGGUGGUGGGUUCAAUUCCCACCCAGGUCA